GUGGGGAAUUUUGGACAAUGGGCGAAAGCCUGAUCCAGCAAUGCCGCGUGUGUGAAGAAGGCCUUCGGGUUGUAAAGCACUUUUGUCCGGAAAGAAAUCCUUUGGGUUAAUACCUCGGAGGGAUGACGGUACCGGAAGAAUAAGGACCGGCUAACUACGUGCCAGCAGCCGCGGUAAUACGUAGGGUCCGAGCGUUAAUCGGAAUUACUGGGCGUAAAGCGUGCGCAGGCGGUUUUGUAAGACAGAUGUGAAAUCCCCGGGCUUAACCUGGGAAUUGCAUUUGUGACUACAAGGCUAGAGUGUGUCAGAGGGGGGUAGAAUUCCACGUGUAGCAGUGAAAUGCGUAGAGAUGUGGAGGAAUACCGAUGGCGAAGGCAGCCCCCUGGGAUAACACUGACGCUCAUGCACGAAAGCGUGGGGAGCAAACAGGAUUAGAAACCCCUGUAGUCC
rnacentral:rRNA from 1 species